UUUGUCUGGGAAGGUCAUUCUUUGUGAUCAAGUGCUACCAUGCAUACCCUUGACCAAAGAAUAGACCUCCUCUGUCUAGGA